GCUUCACAAGAGAAGGUCACGAUUGGCUUGUGGGUUAUCUGUCAUCUUUUUGGCGUGUGCUACGGCCCAAACAGUAGCCUGUGUAAAGUUGGUUUAAUAAACCGUCAAUUCGCAAACUCAAGCCUCUGCCUGGACAAUUGUUCAUUUAUGAUCUAGUCAGGUCAUUACAGUAUGAAGAAAAAGCUCCUUUUCUAAAUUUUUAAAAACAAAACAAAACAAAUACUUAUGCUUUGCAUGUUACUGUUAGUAAAAUAAAUACAAAUUAAAAAAUGUAAAAAAAGAGCCUAACUUGUUCCAAUUGGUUUUAAGCCUAUCAUGUACCUCCGAAAUUUUCGGAACAUCACUUCGUCACAAAAUCUUUUUUGGGCAGCCAUUGAUGAUACCCGCCGUAGCCCUACAGGUCCCCUCCAUCGCUCCCACGACCUCUGCCUCCAACUGACCAAGUCCCGGGCCCAGUUCCUGCCCCACUAUAUACCGCUGGUAUCUCAUGGCCACUGAGUACCUGGAAUGCGGUCGGUGUAAGAAGAAGGUCGGGGGGUGGUCACAGGACCUUGUUAAUCAGCUGGACUCUCGGCACCUCUGCCAGUUCCCAGCAAUGUUGACAGUGCAUCACAGACCUAUAGCAAGCUGUGUGAAAGUCACAGCGAGUCCUGGAUGCGGAGUUGUAUACGGCACCUCGGCUAGUGCGAGCAGUUUCUGGCCUUGGGCACUGGGCGGCAGUUCACCGAUCUGAAGGUCUGACCCAGGGGACCCCGCUGACGCACCCAGGUCUGGGCCAUCCAGUCCCACCGCCCCUGAAGACAGAAACUCUCCUGUGGCCCCUGAUCGCCAUGAUUCUCCUCACCCUGACCACUCCUCUGAUUCAGGGUAAUUAUAAUUGACCUUUUGUGUUGUAUGACUCCGAUGACUUCCCCCCCUUUCCCCUGUGGAAUGUCCAUGGUUCUCUCUUUGUUUAGCUGUCCAUCUUCUGGGACUGACCCUGAUCUCUGAUCCUAGGCAAUUUCCUCUUAUCUGAUUAGGUCAUGGUUUCUAAAUUAGCAUACAUUUACAUUACAUUUAAGUCAUUUAGCAGACGCUCUUAUCCAGAGCGACUUACAAAUUGGUGCUUUCACCUUAAGACAUCCAGUGGAACAGCCACUUUACAAUAGUGCAUCUAGGUAUUUUAAGGGGGGGUGAGAAGGAUUACUUUAUCCUAUCCUAGGUGAUUACUUGCAGUAAUCAUUCACUAAACAGGACUUUAAAAAAACUACAGUUAACUUGAAAUGUUACCAGGGCCUUGGUGGGGGUGAGGAACCGUCAGGGGCUGUCGGACCGCAGGGUAGACAGUCUGGUGGCGCUGUGGCUGGUGCUGCCAGACUUCGACAAGCAGCGCUUGAUCUACCCUGCCCGACACCAGGAGAGGAUCGUUCAGGGGCGGUUCAAAGCAACGAAGGUGAAGUCGUCCAUUACCAUUAUUAUUAUUAUAAUAGAGUCUCGCCAACGGUAUGUUGUUAGUGUUCAUGUCCUCCACCUGACAAUUAUAUUGCCUGCCGCUACAUUAAAUGCAUAUGAAGGUCAGGCGAUGGCUAUCAUUAUUUUUACCUUGUUCUCUAAAUAUUUAUCUCCUCUGUUUCAGUUGCCUUCUCGGACUCAACUCGGCAAAUUGGCCGGGCACCAGCCGUUUGGUCAGUCAGCUCUGUCAAAUCCAUCCGAGCGCCACAGUCUGCCGUCGUCAAGAAGAGCAGGUGGGCUCUCAUUCUGGGAGACUGGCCAUCAGGGAGGGAUAAGCCUAGUUGGUGUUGUAAUGUUAAUUCCAAUAAGAGGAAUUAUGGUGUGUUAUUUUGUGUGUAGAGAUUGCUGACAUUAUUUAAUGUUUAUUGGAUUUACAUUGCAAUAAUUCUCUUUCAUCCUGUUUCCCAAUGUAAACUCUGGUUCAUCAUUAAAACUCCUAGACUGGG